rnacentral:rRNA from 2 species
GGACUACUGGGGUAUCUAAUCCUGUUUGCUCCCCUAGCUUUCGUGCCUCAGUGUCAGGAAGUGUCCAGGGACUCGCCUUCGCCACUGGUGUUCCUCUCGAUAUCUACGCAUUUCACUGCUACACCGAGAAUUCCAGUCCCCCCUCCACUCCUCAAGCCAAAUAGUAUCCAAUGCCAUUUCCAGGUUGAGCCUGGAGAUUUCACAUCGGACUUACCUGACCACCUACGCACCCUUUACGCCCAGUGAAUCCGAACAACGCUUGGGACCUCUGUAUUACCGCGGCGGCUGGCAC